AGGCAUACAACUCAAUCACCAUGUUGGAGAGGGCAAAAACAAGUGCGAAUGUCGUAGAGGAAGAGACAUUGCAUCACAUUGGCAUGAAUUUGGCACCAUUGUAAUCUUUGAUUGGUAGAUACGGAUGUAUCUAACACGAGUACAUGCGGAUUAUAUCCCUCUAACCAUGCCCAGGAAUGUGUUAAAACAUAGGUGUCGGGCAUAGGUGCUUCAAAAAAAUAAAAGGUCGGAGCAACAUAGGUUGUAGUGGGACAACAUAGGUUGUGACUGGGGAAGAAGGAAGAGCUUAUAAACCAGUUUACAUAUAGAUUAUUCAAACCAGAAAGGUUUCAUGAAGAGAAAGUAAGAAGAAACAAACCAUUGAUAUAUCCAACCGCUGUUUCAUCGCAUAA